GGGCAGCUAGUUCACUGGUAGAACGCUUCACUGAUAAUGAAGAAGUACAUGGUCCGAUUCCAUGGCUGCCCACUA
rnacentral:tRNA from 3 species